rnacentral:rRNA from 1 species
ACGGCUCAGUAACACGUGGAUAACCUGCCCUUAGGUCUGGCAUAACCCCGGGAAACUGGGGAUAAUUCCGGAUAGAUUAUAGAUGCUGGAAUGCCCUGUAAUCCAAAGCUUUUGUGCCUAAGGAUGGGUCUGCGGUCUAUCAGGUUGUAGUGGGUGUGAUGUACCUACUAGCCUACGACGGAUACGGGUUGUGGGAGCAAGAGCCCGGAGAUGGAUUCUGAGACAUGAAUCCAGGCCCUACGGGGCGCAGCAGGCGCGAAAACUUUACAAUGCGGGAAACCGCGAUAAGGGGACACCGAGUGCCAGCAUCCUAUGUUGGCUGUCCAUAUGUAUAAAUCACAUGUGUUAGCAAGGGCCGGGCAAGACCGGUGCCAGCCGCCGCGGUAACACCGGCGGCCCGAGUGGUGGCCACUAUUAUUGGGUCUAAAGGGUCCGUAGCCGGUUUGGUCAGUCUUCCGGGAAAUCUGACGGCUCAACCGUUAGGCUUUCGGGGGAUACUACCAGGCUUGGGACCGGGAGAGGUAAGAGGUACUACGGGGGUAGGAGUGAAAUCUUGUAAUCCCUGUGGGACCACCAGUGGCGAAGGCGUCUUACCAGAACGGGCCCGACGGUGAGGGACGAAAGCUGGGGGCACGAACCGGAUUAGAUACCCGGGUAGUCCCAGCUGUAAACUAUGCUCGCUAGGUGUCAGGGACGGUGCGACCGUUUCUGGUGCCGCAGGGAAGCCGUGAAGCGAGCCACCUGGGAAGUACGGUCGCAAGGCUGAAACUUAAAGGAAUUGGCGGGGGAGCACUACAACGGGUGGAGCCUGCGGUUUAAUUGGACUCAACGCCGGAAAACUCACCGGGGGCGACAGCAAUAUGUAGGUCAAGCUAAAGACUUUACCAGAAUCGCUGAGAGGAGGUGCAUGGCCGUCGUCAGUUCGUACUGUGAAGCAUCCUGUUAAGUCAGGCAACGAGCGAGACCCCCGCC